AGAGUUUGAUCCUGGCUCAGAGCGAACGCUGGCGGCGUGCUUAACACAUGCAAGUCGAGUGCGCAGUCUGCUGUAGCAAUACAGUAGAUCGGCGCACGGCACACGGGUGCGUAACACGUGGGCAACCUGCCCUCCAAAGGGGGAUAACCCGCCGAAAGGCGGGCUAAUACCGCAUGACAUUCCGGUAGCUUCGGCCGCCGGAAUCAAAGCCCGUAAGGGCGUUGGAGGAGGGGCCCGCGCCCGAUUAGCUUGUUGGCGAGGUAACGGCUCACCAAGGCUUUGAUCGGUAGCCGGUCUGAGAGGAUGGCCGGCCACACUGGAACUGAGACACGGUCCAGACUCCUACGGGAGGCAGCAGUGGGGAAUCUUGCGCAAUGGGCGAAAGCCUGACGCAGCGACGCCGCGUGGGGGAUGAAGCUUCUCGGAGUGUAAACCCCUUUCGACCCGGACGAAACGCCCGCAAGGGCUUGACGGUACGGGUAUAAGAAGCCCCGGCUAACUACGUGCCAGCAGCCGCGGUAAGACGUUANGGGGCCAGCGUUGCUCGGAAUUCUGGCGUUAAAAGGGUUCGU
rnacentral:rRNA from 1 species